rnacentral:rRNA from 1 species
AGCGAACGCUGGCGGCAGGCUUAACACAUGCAAGUCGAACGGGCAUAGCAAUAUGUCAGUGGCAGACGGGUGCGUAACGCGUGGGAACGUACCUUUUGGUUCGGAACAACACAGGGAAACUUGUGCUAAUACCGGAUAAGCCCUUACGGGGAAAGAUGUAUCGCCGAAUGAUCGGUCUGAGUCUGAUUAGCUAGUUGGGAGGGUAAUGGCCUACCAAGGCGGCGGGCAGUAGCUGGUCUGAGAGGAUGAUCAGCCACAUUGGGACAGGGACCAGGAUCAAACUCUGGCGAGUGGCAGCAGUGGUGAAUAUGGGACAAUGGGCGAGAGCCUGAUCCAGCCAGGCCGGGAGGGUGAUGAAGGCCGUAGGGUUGUAAAGCUCUUUUGAGCUGGAAGAUAAGGACGGAACCGCAAGAAAAGCCCCCGGUUACUUCGGU